GAGUGGCGGACGGGUGCGUAACGCGUAGGAAUCUGCCUAUUAGUGGGGGACAACUUAGGGAAACCUAAGCUAAUACCGCAUACGCCCUACGGGGGAAAGGAGGGGACCUUCGGGCCUUUCGCUAAUAGAUGAGCCUGCGUUGGAUUAGCUAGUUGGUGGGGUAAAGGCCUACCAAGGCGACGAUCCAUAGCUGGUCUGAGAGGACGAUCAGCCACACUGGGACUGAGACACGGCCCAGACUCCUACGGGAGGCAGCAGUGGGGAAUAUUGGACAAUGGGCGAAAGCCUGAUCCAGCAAUACCGCGUGUGUGAAGAAGGCCUUAGGGUUGUAAAGCACUUUCAAUUGGAAGGAAAAACUCAUGGCCAAUACCCAUGAGCUUGACAUUACCUUUAGAAGAAGCACCGGCUAACUCCGUGCCAGCAGCCGCGGUAAUACGGAGGGUGCGAGCGUUAAUCGGAAUUACUGGGCGUAAAGCGUGCGUAGGCGGCUCGUUAAGUCAGAUGUGAAAGCCCUGGGCUCAACCUGGGAACGGCAUUUGAAACUGGCGAGCUAGAGUUUGGGAGAGGAGAGUGGAAUUUCAGGUGUAGCGGUGAAAUGCGUAGAGAUCUGAAGGAACACCAGUGGCGAAGGCGACUCUCUGGCCUAAAACUGACGCUGAGGUACGAAAGCGUGGGUAGCAAACAGGAUUAGAUACCCUGGUAGUCCACGCCGUAAACGAUGUCAACUAGCCGUUGGCUCUCUUAGAGAGUUAGUGGCGCAGCUAACGCAUUAAGUUGACCGCCUGGGGAGUACGGCCGCAAGGUUAAAACUCAAAUGAAUUGACGGGGGCCCGCACAAGCGGU
rnacentral:rRNA from 1 species